AGGACGGCAGCAGGCGCGGAACUUGCCCAAUGCGCGCGCGCGAGGCAGCGACGGGGAGUGCGCGAGCGAGGCGGGCCCACAGCCCCCGCCGCGGAGCCGAGGGCAAGGUCUGGUGCCAGCAGCCGCGGUAAUUCCAGCUCGGCGGGCGUCGCGUGGCGCUGCUGCAGUUAAAACGCCCGUAGUUGGCCCCCCGCCGCCACGAGGAAACGGGAGCGCUCCAGGCAGGCCCGUUGGACCCGCCGCGUGGGACCGCGCAGCGGGCGCGGCGCGCCGCGGCAGCCCCGAGGAGAGCGGGCGGGGGCACCGGUACCGGCCGGGGACGGGUGAAACAGGAUGAUCCCGCCGAGACCGCCGGCCGCGCAGGCGCCUGCCAAGACCGCCUCUGUCAAUCAAGGGCGAAGGCCGGGGGCUAGAAGGCGAUCANACACCAC
rnacentral:rRNA from 1 species